GCUAGCAAACCUUCCCAACAUGGAGAGAUGCUUUCUACUGAUUCUCAUUACAGCAACAGGUGUUUUAUCUGACAGCAUUCAACCAAAAGACAAAGAAACUACUAUUUACAGAACAGAAGAAGAGCGUGUAACGAUGAGCUGUUCAUAUGAUACAAGCAGCGAUUAUGUCUAUCUUUACUGGUACAGACAGUAUCCUAACAAAGAACCAGUAUAUUUACUGUAUAAAGGUGCUCGAUCACGGAGCAGCUAUGAGAAUAUCCCAGACCGUCGGUUUCAGUCAACUACAUCCCGAACAUCCACUGAACUCACUAUUAACAGUGUAACUCUGUCAGAUUCAGCUCUCUAUUACUGUGCUCUAAGAGUUGGAGCCCAGUGAUACAAAAUGCCUGAGAGGCUUUACAAAAACUCACAUGUAGUUUUUUUGCCUUUAAAAAAAUAGAUCAAAUAAGAAUUAGACCACAGUUAUAUAAUCUGUAAACCACAACACUUCUUUUGCAAACAUAAUAUUGUAACACCUGCUUGA